UACGUAGGGCGCAAGCGUUUGUCCGGAAUUAUUGGGCGUAAAGAGCUCGUAGGCGGUCUGUCGCGUCGGAUGUGAAAGCCCGGGGCUUAACCCCGGGUCUGCAUUCGAUACGGGCAGACUAGAGUGUGGUAGGGGAGAUCGGAAUUCCUGGUGGUAGCGGUGAAAUGCGCAGAUAUCAGGAGGAACACCUGUGGCGAAGGCGGUUAUCUGGCCUAAUACUGACACUGAGGCGCGAAAGCUAGGGGAGCAAACGGG
rnacentral:rRNA from 1 species